AGGAAAGGCAGCUACCCGUCGGUCAUUUUGGCUGAGGAAAGUCCGUCCACUACGGGUCUUUGACUCGUCUUUUAUGGGUUGCUUGGGGAAACCCAAGUUUCGGAAACGGAAGGCAACCGCAACAGAAACGAGACGGCCUUUUGCUGCUUUAAAGAUGUGGCUUUUUGGCUGAAUAGGCAAAGGGUUUCGGUGAAACGGCGAGCCCCAACCGGUGCAAGUCAGUUUUGACGCUUAGUUGAAUGGUAGCAAAACCUUCAAUGAGACUCAUUUUGAGUUGAGGGUUUUACAGAAGAUGGCUUAUACCUUUCCU
rnacentral:RNase_P_RNA from 1 species